UACAGAGGUCUCAAGCGUUGUUCGGAAUCACUGGGCUUAAAGGGUGCGUAGGCGGCCAUGUAAGUGAGGUGUGAAAUCCCUCGGCUCAACCGAGGAACUGCGCUUCAUACUGCAUGGCUUGAGGGAGACAGGGGUAAGCGGAACUGAUGGUGGAGCGGUGAAAUGCGUUGAUAUCAUCAGGAACACCGGUGGCGAAAGCGGCUUACUGGGUCUCUUCUGACGCUGAGGUACGAAAGCUAGGGGAGCGAACGGG
rnacentral:rRNA from 1 species